rnacentral:piRNA from 1 species
UGGUAUCUAGUGACUAAAGCUCGAGGC